AGAAGAGUGUAGUAAAGAAAAAUUCACUGAGAAUUUCAUCUCAAAUCAAUCUAUUGAAGAUACUAACGAAGAUUUGGAGCUGGGCAAAAAUAGUUCUGUAGAUAGAGAAUGCGUUCAAGAAAAACCAGAUCAUCUCAGUUUGGAUGUUAACGAACCAAAUUUAACAAAAUAUUUGGAUAUAUCUUUCAAUGAUUCUGUUGAAGUAGAUCAAGGUCGCCCGAAAGAAAAAUCAGAUUACUCAACUUUGACCAAUGAAAAUAAUUUGAUUCAACGUUCGAAUGUCGAAGCUACUGAAUCAUUUACUGUUGAACUAGAUAAAGAGUGUCCCACUAAAUUACAGAUAAAACGAAAAUGCUGUACGGAUGUAACAAACAAAAAAUACCGCAUUUCUCCGAUUCACUCAAAUGAAAGUGAUGUUGACCACACCGAUUCUGAUCCGACUUAUUCACAGGAAAACUAUCAAAUUAGGUAUUCUUUUCUGAAUGAUAUACUAUCAACAAACUUCCCAGUGCCUGAAAAUAGUUUGUCUUCGAAUUCAUCUUCCGAUAAUUCUUCAGAGUCGUCUACAGAUGAAGAAAAUC